UCCCUACGGGCGGGUAGAGUGUCGGCGUCGUCAUCACACCGUACGGGGGGAAGCCGGUGCAAUUCCGGCGCUGACCCGCAACCGUGAACCGCUCAAAGCGGUGAGCCGGACUGCCCCGCACGGUUCGUGACCGGCUC
rnacentral:ncRNA from 17 species